GAUGAACGCUGGCGGCGUGCCUAAUACAUGCAAGUCGAGCGAACAGACGAGGAGCUUGCUCCUCUGACGUUAGCGGCGGACGGGUGAGUAACACGUGGAUAACCUACCUAUAAGACUGGGAUAACUUCGGGAAACCGGAGCUAAUACCGGAUAAUAUAUUGAACCGCAUGGUUCAAUAGUGAAAGACGGUUUUGCUGUCACUUAUAGAUGGAUCCGCGCCGCAUUAGCUAGUUGGUAAGGUAACGGCUUACCACGGCAACGAUGCGUAGCCGACCUGAGAGGGUGAUCGGCGACACUGGAACUGAGACGCGGUCCAUACUCCUACGGGAGGCAGCAGUAGGGAAUCUUCCGCAAUGGGCGAAAGCCUGACGGAGCAACGCCGCGUGAGUGAUGAAGGUCUUCGGAGCGUAAAACUCUGUUAUUAGGGAAGAACAAAUGUGUAAGUAACUAUGCACGUCUUGACGGUACCUAAUCAGAAAGCCACGGCUAACUACGUG
rnacentral:rRNA from 1 species